UCUGUGUGAGCGUGUUGUUCAGAACAUCGGUGGGUUUCUUCUUCCCGCUGGACAUUGGUUCAUCUGCCGGUUGCUACAGAAACUGACUGAAAGACAUCAACAGAUUGUGGUGGACCUUCUCGUUUCCCAGCAGGUGAACCCUCGUGGCCGCUACUUCCCGUUUCCUGCAGAAUGUUUUCUUCUUUCAGGUCGACGUCAGCAUGAGCUCUCAGACGACUCCCGGACCUUUGGUUCAAACAUCAACAGAAAGUGCUGCUACUUUUUCGGACCUCGUCACAAAGAUCGGGAGAAAGGACAUCUACAGCAGCAGUGAAGAUUUUGCAAUCUUGAUCGGAGCACAAUCUUGUAUUCUGCACAGAACUGUGAAUCUUGAAUUGCGUACAGACGAAGUCGGUUUCAGAGCAGAAAGGUACGAGAGUCUCGAAAGAGUUAUCAACUGGAAUUAUUAAAUUUUUAUGAAGUUCUAAAUUUAAG